AUAAAGGUUAAAGGGACACUAUAGUCACCUGAACAACUUUAGCUUAGUGAAGCAGUUUUGGUGUAUAGAACAUGCCCCUGCAGCCUCACUGCUCAGUCCUCUGCCAUUUAGGAGUUAAAUCCCUUUGUUUAUGAACCCUAGUCACACCUCCCUGCAUGUGACUUGCACAGCCUUCCAUAAACACUUCCUGUAAAGAGAGCCCUAUUUAGGCUUUCUUUAUUGCAAGUUCUGUUUAAUUAAGAUUUUCUUAUCCCCCUGCUAUGUUAAUAGCUUGCUAGACCCUGCAAGAGCCUCCUGUAUGUGAUUAAAGUUCAAUUUAGAGAUUGAGAUACAAUUAUUUAAGGUAAAUUACAUCUGUUUGAAAGUGAAACC